rnacentral:rRNA from 1 species
GCGCGAAAACUUCGCACUGUGCGAAAGCACGACGAGGGAAUCCCAAGUGCUUGCUCGUUAGAGUAAGCUGUUUUUAUGUCUAAAACACAUAGAGAGUAAGAGCUGGGUAAGACGGGUGCCAGCCGCCGCGGUAAUACCUGCAGCUCAAGUGGUGACCACUAUUAUUGGGCCUAAAACGUCCGUAGCCUGUUUACUAAAUGCCCGGGUAAAUCGUGUAGCUUAACUAUACGAAUUCCGGGUAGACUGGUAAACUUGAGAUCGGGAGAAGUUGUAGGUACUCCUGGGGUAGAGGUGAAAUUCUGUAAUCCUAGGGGGACCACCAGUGGCGAAGGCGUCUUACUAGAACGAGUCUGACGGUGAGGGACGAAGCCCUGGGGCGCAAACGGGAUUAGAUACCCCCGGUAGUCCAGGGUGUAAACGCUGCUUGCUUGAUGUUAGUCGGGCUCCGAGCCCGAUUAGUGUCGGAGAGAAGUUGUUAAGCAAGCUGCCUGGGAAGUACGGUCGCAAGACUGAAACUUAAAGGAAUUGGCGGGGGAGCGACUGCAAC